UCCGCAUUAGAAUUGCCGACCGCCCUGCUUGCGACAAUGCGGCUGCGAGGAGACGAUUUAACACCCCUAUGUG
rnacentral:lncRNA from 1 species